rnacentral:tmRNA from 1 species
GGGGGCGAAACGGCUUCGACGGGGAUAAAGAAGCUUAGGUUGCAUAUCGAGGUUCUGUUUGCUCGUUAAACAGGCAGAAAUAAAAUAAACGCAGAUGAUUAUGCGUACGCUUUAGCUGCUUAAGCGGCUAACGUCCUGCCGUUCUUUCCUGCGAGGAUGGAUUUGGGCGUCGACGAGCAGGAUAGCCAAUCUGAGAGACCUGAAUCUCAGGGAGGCGAAUUUCUAAUCAGGUUAGCCCUCUAGUCAGCUUGCCCGAAAGGUGUCUUGAGGGCGAACAUUGAACAUCGGGAUAUGUAUGUAGAGGCCUAAGUGGACUAUUUUCGGACGGGGGUUCGACUCCCCCCGCCUCCACCA